rnacentral:rRNA from 1 species
AGGAAAUUUGAGAGGAGCUGUCCUUAGUACGAGAGGACCGGGAUGGACGAACCGCUGGUGUAUCUGUUGCAUACCAAAUGCACGGCAGAGUAGCUAAGUUCGGAACGGAUAAACGCUGAAGGCAUCUAAGCGUGAAGCCGCCCUCAAGACGAGAUUUCCCAUUCGAAAGAAGUAAGACCCCUUGAAGACUACGAGGUAGAUAGGUCAGAGGUGUAAGUGCGGUAACGUAUUGAGCUUACUGAUACUAAUAGGUCGAGGGCUUGACCGAA